rnacentral:rRNA from 1 species
AUUGAACGCUGGCGGCAGGCCUAACACAUGCAAGUCGAGCGAGCGGCGGACGGGUGAGUAAUGUCUGGGAAACAGCCUGAUAGAGGGGGAGAACUACUGGAAAAGGUAGCUAAUACCGCAUACCAUCAGAUGUGCCCAGAGGGGCUUAGCUCGUGGGUGGGGUAACGGCUCACCUAGGCGACGCUCCCUAGCUGGGCUGAGAGGAUGACCAGCCACACUGGAACGGAGACACGGUCCAGACUCCUACGGGAGGCAGCAGUGGGGAAGAUUGCACAAUGGGCGCAAGCCUGAUGCAGCCAUGCCGCGUGUGUGAAGAAGGCCUUCGGGUUGUAAAGCACUUUCAGCGGGGAGGCGUUACCCGCAGAAGAAGCACCGGCUAACUCCGUGCCAGCAGCCGCGGUAAUUC